GACGAACGCUGGCGGCGUGCUUAACACAUGCCAGUCGAACGGAAAGGCCCUGCUUUUGUGGGGUGCUCGAGUGGCGAACGGGUGAGUAACACGUGAGUAACCUGCCCUUGACUUUGGGAUAACUUAAGGAAACUGGGGCUAAUACUGGAUAGGAGCUCCUGCUGCAUGGUGGGGGUUGGAAAGUUUCGGCGGGUGGGGAUGGACUCGCGGCUUAUCAGCUUGUUGGUGGGGUAGUGGCUUACCAAGGAUUUGACGGGUAGCCGGCCUGAGAGGGUGACCGGCCACAUUGGGACUGAGAUACGGCGCAGACUCCUACGGGAGGCAGCAGUGGGGAAUAUUGCACAAUGGGCGCGAGCCUGAUGCAGCAACGCCGCGUGCGGGAUGACGGCCUUCGGGUUGUAAACCGCUUUCGCCUGUGACGAAGCGUGAGUGACGGUAAUGGGUAAUGAAGCACCGGCUAACUACGUG
rnacentral:rRNA from 1 species